UACGUAGGGUGCGAGCGUUAAUCGGAAUUACUGGGCGUAAAGCGUGCGCAGGCGGUUAUAUAAGACAGAUGUGAAAUGCCCGGGCUCAACCUGGGACCUGCAUUUGUGACUGUAUAGCUAGAGUACGGUAGAGGGGGAUGGAAUUCCGCGUGUAGCAGUGAAAUGCGUAGAUAUGCGGAGGAACACCGAUGGCGAAGGCAAUCCCCUGGACCUGUACUGACGCUCAUGCACGAAAGCGUGGGGAGCAAACAGG
rnacentral:rRNA from 1 species